ensembl:lncRNA
CAUACUAGAGAGCUCAUCUAUCUAAACAGACUUGUCACAUAUCCUCGACUGAGGGAUGACCAUAGAGACAUACUAGAGAGCUCAUCUAUCUAAACAGACUUGUCACAUAUCCUCGACUGAGGGAUGACCAUAGAGACAUACUAGAGAGCUCAUCUAUCUAAACAGGCUUGGUUGAAAUGGCUGAUCCUCUUGUUGUGAUGUUAACAGUAACCAGCUGUAUUUGUCACAGUACUACAGAUUCCUUUAUUAAAAGAUGUGACUCUGUACCACAGUACUACAGAUUCCUUAAUUAAGAUGUGACUCUGUACCACAGUACUACAGAUUCCUUUAAGAUGUGACUCUGUACCACAGUAUUACAGAUUCCUUUAUUAAAAGAUGUGACUCUGUACCACAGUAUUACAGAUUCCUUUAUUAAAAGAUGUGACUCUGUACCACAGUACUACAGAUUCCUUUAAGAUGUGACUCUGUACCACAGUACUACAGAUUCCUUUAAGAUGUGACUCUGUACCACAGUACUACAGAUUCCUUUAAGAUGUGACUCUGUACCACAGUACUACAGAUUCCUUUAAGAUGUGACUCUGCACCACAGUACUACAGAUUCCUUUAAGAUGUGACUCUGUACCACAGUACUACAGAUUCCUUUAAGAUGUGACUCUGCACCACAGUACUACAGAUUCCUUUAAGAUGUGACUCUGUACCACAGUACUACAGAUUCCUUUAAGAUGUGACUCUGCACCACAGUACUACAGAUUCCUUUAAGAUGUGACUCUGCACCACAGUACUACAGAUUCCUUUAAGAUGUGACUCUGCACCACAGUACUACAGAUUCCUUUAAGAUGUGACUCUGCACCACAGUACUACAGAUGGAUCUUAUAUUUUCUUGUAAAUGAAUUGUUGUUGAUCAUUUUGAUCGAGACAUAAAUAUUUUAAGAACUAUUUUAAAUAUAGACUUUAUUUUCCUUUUCUAGGUAAAGUCAAGAUCUAGUUAGCGUUUACUAAUUAAACAACAUCUCUCAUCCAUUUCCUUUCAAAAAGAAAUGAAAGAAUAUCCUUUUUCAGUUUUGUUGUACACCCAUUAUACAUUAUGUAAUGGGGGAAGAAAUCACAAAACUGUUUAUCAAUUAAAAACACUAUUUUAUAUAUCCUGAAUGACACGUAUAUCUAUAGUAAUUCAUUAUAUUGUGGAGAGCAUAUUUUUUAGGAGGGUAACUGGAGUAGCGAGUUGUAGGCUGAAUAGAAACUAUUUAAGAUGCUACAGGUAGCUACAGUAUAGAAAGAGCUCAUACUGCUGAGACAACUCACAACGUCUGGGCGCGGUUACCAGAGAGGAAACUAACCGUGUUGUUGCUUCGCCUCUCUUUAAGACGUAAUGUUUCCCCUGAUCCCGCGUCAUGCUAGCAAGCCAAGGCUUUAUUAGAAACAUGUUGAAUGUGUGUCCUUUGCUGCUUGUGCAUCCGUCCAUCCAUCCACCUGGCACGGGACAGGUCAAAGGGCAUGCUCCACUAGUAGAAUGGAAGCAUGCUGUUUUGACCUCUCACCUUUGACUCUUGACCUCCACUUUGACUGACAGCGUCCACUUUGAGCUGCAUAGGUUAUAACUUCCAUAUGAACCUUGAUAGACAGGACUUAACUAACCCAGAACAACAACCCUACAUUAGUUCGACAUCAACAAACACCCCCCCCAAGAGUAGCAAAAUCAGGAGCACCUUUCUUUUAAAGUCCUCUUCUUAAAAGACUGUUAGUAUAUUAAUACUCAUGAUUAUAAUGAUCAUUAUUAUGCAGAUGUGUCGGAGACAACAUUUCUAGAGGAGAUCACUAUUUUGCACAUAAACCACUAUCUAGUUUGACAAUGACUGCUCUUACAAGAUAAAAGGCGCUGUCUAGAACCUUAAUUAAAGGGUUAUUCGGCUGUCUCCAUAGGAGAACCCUUUUGGGUUCCACGUAGAACUCUUUCAAUGGAGGGUUCUAAAUGGAACCAAAAAAAGGGUUCUGUCUAGAACCAAAGAGUUCUGCUAUGUGGACAGCCGAAUUAACCCCUUGUGGAAGCAUUUUUUCUAAUAAUAUACACAGAGGCGUUGAGAGGAAAGAGUUUUAAGAAGUUAUGUCUGGAUUUAAAAGAGAGCAUGAAUAAUGACUGUCUGAAAUAGCACCCAUUUCCUUUAUAGUGCACUACGUUUGACCACUGAAGGCCACUGGUCUAAAGUAGUGCCCUUAUGUAGGGAAUAGGGUUCCAUUUGACAAGCAGACUAGGACUCGUUUUCAAGAGGCCUCACUGGCCAGUGAGCAGGUGUCAGUUGGUUGAAUCAGACUAGGACUCGUUUUCAAGAGGCCUCACUGGCCAGUGAGCAGGUGUCAGUUGGUUGAAGCAGACUAGGACUCGUUUUCAAGAGGCCUCACUGGCCAGUGAGCAGGUGUCAGUUGGUUGAAGCAGACUAGGACUCCUUUUCAAGAGGCCUCACUGGCCAGUGAGCAGGUGUCAGUUGGUUGAAGCAGACUAGGACUCCUUUUCAAGAGGCCUCACUGGCCAGUGAGCAGGUGUCAGUUGGUUGAAGCAGACUAGGACUCGUUUUCAAGAGGCCUCACUGGCCAGUGAGCAGGUGUCAGUUGGUUGAAGCAGACUAGGACUCCUUUUCAAGAGGCCUCACUGGCCAGUGAGCAGGUGUCAGUUGGUUGAAGCAUGAACAUUUCUCUCCCUCUGUUUCUUCCAGGUCGGGUUAAGAUAAAUAUUGCACCGUUAUACUGUAGCAUUCCACAGUACGGUUCCAGAUUCCACAUGGAGCAAACACAGUAUUUUGAUAUAAAAUAUUCAGACAUAUUAUAUAAUCACUUUAUUGAGGUUUAACUGUUGUUUAACUGUCUUUUCCAACAUAAGUCGUUUUUCUGGUUUGAUUUGACCUUCGUAAAGCCACGUCGGAGAGAGAUUAUUGUUUACCUGGUAUGGAUAACAGAACACCGAGGAUGAGUAGUUGACUAUUGGUGAUGAAGAGGGGUUUGUGUGACUAUCAAAGUCAUAAAUAGUUUGGGGGGUUGGUUAAUGUUGAGUUAAAGACGUUGUUUUAUUGGUCCGCGUCUCACUUUAAGGCAGUAGUAGAACGUUGUACCCAUCAGGUUUAAACAAGUCUGUAAUACAUUUAAAUACUUCAGUAAUACCCUAAAACCACUUUUUGGCAAAGUCGUCUGUCCUUAUUGCGUUUAUAUGUGAAAGAACUAUUCACGAGAAACAACAAAAGUUAUUUUUUUGUGAUAUUAGUAGUGGCACUACUGUUAAAUGUAGUAUUUUAAGAAGAACAAGCACUAUUUAUGGUCAUUAAAAUGAACUAGAAUGUGUAUUGUGCAUUAUGGUAGCUUUGGAGGCAGCCAUCUUGUUUUGUAUCAAUUUCCUCAUGCUCAGAGACAGUCACUCACUUCAUGUAAGGGGUUCAACUAGUUGUUGAGUGGACUUGCCCAAAUCCGAGCUCCCUUUUCUCCUUUGAAUGACAAGUCUGCAUGGUCUCACCAACAGACAUUACCGCCCAUUCCCUCAAAUCUUACUUUUUUAUUUUCUAUAAAGAAAAACAAUUCUAUUACUUUAUUUUUAAUUUCUUGUUUCAUUCUUUCAUUUAAACCAAUUUUUAAAGAGAAAGAAUACAAUAAAUACAAAUCUGAAUAUUCAAUCACUUUUUCUACUUCUAUUUUCAAAAUAACUGAAAAAAAAAACCUAAUAAAAAGUUGAUUUGUAUAUAAGUGAUGUACAGUUUGUAUCUGUUAAUGUCAGUCUGUCUUUGGUGACAGAGUCUGUCUUGCUUAUAACGCACGCUACCAGUAAAUAAAAUAAAAAUAUAUUUAGACUGUACGGUCCUUGAAAGCAAGUUUUAAAUUAAUCUGAUGUAUAUUCCUGUAACAUUGCAUUUUUAUCUGAGGAAUUAUGUUAUUAAAAAAAAUUGCUAAUAAAUUGCAUUUCCUACAGCUCCUUUUUGGAUUCUCUUAUCUAUUCUAGAGGUUUGGGAGGCAUCACAAUGCAGAAGCAUAAGUCCAAUACUUGGAAUAAGUAUAGCCAACAUUUUAAACCAACUAUUUUUUUAAUGGUCCCCCCAAAAAAAUUGUAUUCCACCUGUGGUUACGAUGGUCUUUGUGUUGUCAGUGGGAGAAUUUAGAACCCUGUGUCCCUGUUCAACUGUAUUCCACCUGUGGUUACGAUGGUCUUUGUGUUGUCAGUGGGAGAAUUUAGAACCCUGUGUCCCUG